AGCAGCCGCGGUAAUUCCAGCUACAAUAGCGUAUAUUAAAGUUGUUGCAGUUAAAAAGCUCGUAGUUGAAUUUCGGGGUUAGUAGGUUGGUCAUGCCUCUGGUAUGUACUGGUCUCACUGAUUCCUCCUUCCUGAUGAACCUUAAUCCCAUUAAUUUGGUGUUUUGGGGAAUUUGGACUGUUACUUUGAAAAAUUAGAGUGUUUAAAGCAAGCUAACGCUUGAAUACAUUAGCAUGGAAUAAUGAAAUAGGACGUUCGAUCCUAUUUUGUUGGUUUCUAGGAUUGACGUAAUGAUUAAUAGGGAUAGUUGGGGGCAUUAGUAUUCAAUUGUCAGAGGUGAAAAUUCUUGGAUUUAUUGAAGACUAACUACUGCGAAAGCAUUUGCCAAGGAUGUUUUCAUUAAUCAAGAACGAAAGUUAGGGGAUCGAAGACGAUCAGAUACCGUCGUAGUCUUAACCAUAAACUAUGCCGACUAAGGGAUCGGAUGAUGUUAAUUUUUAAUGACUCAUUCGGCGCCUUA
rnacentral:rRNA from 1 species